rnacentral:rRNA from 1 species
UACAGAGGGUGCGAGCGUUGUCCGGAAUCACUGGGCGUAAAGCGCACGUAGGCGGCUUUGUAAGUUAGAGGUGAAAGCCCAGGGCUCAACCCUGGAAUUGCCUUUAAGACUGCAUCGCUUGAACAUCGGAGAGGUAAGUGGAAUUCCGAGUGUAGAGGUGAAAUUCGUAGAUAUUCGGAAGAACACCAGUGGCGAAGGCGACUUACUGGACGAUUGUUGACGCUGAGGUGCGAAAGCGUGGGGAGCAAACAGG